CUCCAUCCCUCGCUCUCGCUCCUUGUCUCCCUGCCUGAAGAACUCCUCCAUGAUUCUCUCCGUCCAUUGUCGAUACACAGCCAGCGGUUUCGUCGGGUUGCUCAGGUGUGCACCUUGUUGGAAGCCAUCUCGCUGACUGAGCGGUGAGUCUGAAUGGUCUCCAGCUGGUCCAGACACCAGUCCAGUUCCUCCAGAGUCUCCCGAGCCAUCUGCUGGACUGACUGUCUUUCAUAAUCAUCCAGUGAAGCUGACACUCUGCCAGUCUUUUUUUGGGCAAGAACACUGACUGGGGCAGGAGGUCUAGAAGUGAUACCUCAGAUGAGACGUUGGCAUCAGCAAUGGCGCAGCAGACAGUUAAAUGAGCUGAUGCAAUCUUCAUCUAUGUCUCUCUGUGGCAAUCGUGGUUUCCAGUGCGCUCCUUUAUCCUUUUCAGCUCUGUUUUGUUGUGAGAACUAUAGUUAGGCUCUCUCCACACUCCCCUGAUAUGUCUUACAUUAGUCCGACAUGGUGCUCUGCUUGACAGGUGUAUGCUUUUUGUUCUUUCUGCUCUACUGUGUGUGUGUGUGUGUGUGUGUGUGUGUGUGUGUGUGUGUGUGUGUGUGUGUGUGUGUGUGUGCGCCGCUGCGCAGACACACAGCUGACAGAGGGUUUGUCAGUCUCAGUCACUCAGAUAGAUCUGUGCGAAGACAGCAGCCUAAAGCACAUUUCAGCAGGGUCAUCCUCUCACGUCACUCUGUGCCACGACAUCAGAGGCCGCCAAUUGCAUCUGGUGGUCUGCCUCACCUACUGGGAUGCAAAUUGGACACAGUAUCCUUAUUCCCACGUCUACCUUGUAAGGACAUCUCACCCAGAAUGAGCAUCGUAGAGGAGUUUUCUCUCAAGCAGAACUGUUUGCUGAGAGGUGAAAGACAACCACUUAUUUUGAAAGUGAAUAAACCCCACAAUUUGACAUUUAAAUUUUGCCUAGUCUCAGUCUUCUUGGUUUGAAUUGGGUGACUUGAUUACACUAAAAAGGGGUUUUCUUUUAGUUCCUCCUAGUGCCUGUGGGCUUGAAGAAUAAAUUACUAUUACUACAACUAAAAAGCUUAAAUUUGUGUCAGAAGAAAAAUAAAUCCAAGGAAAAGUGAGGAGGAUGAUUUUUUGUGUGUAUUUUUAUCUCACAGCAUAAUUAUUAAAGGCCGUUCU